rnacentral:rRNA from 1 species
GACGAACGCUGGCGGCGUGCCUAAUACAUGCAAGUAGAACGCUGAAGGAGGAGCUUGCUUCUCUGGAUGAGUUGCGAACGGGUGAGUAACGCGUAGGUAACCUGCCUGGUAGCGGGGGAUAACUAUUGGAAACGAUAGCUAAUACCGCAUAAUAGUAGAUGUUGCAUGACAUUUGCUUAAAAGGUGCAAUUGCAUCACUACCAGAUGGACCUGCGUUGUAUUAGCUAGUUGGUGGGGUAACGGCUCACCAAGGCGACGAUACAUAGCCGACCUGAGAGGGUGAUCGGCCACACUGGGACUGAGACACGGCCCAGACUCCUACGGGAGGCAGCAGUAGGGAAUCUUCGGCAAUAGACGGAAGUCUGACCGAGCAACGCCGCGUGAGUGAAGAAGGUUUUCGGAUCGUAAAGCUCUGUUGUAAGAGAAGAACGAGUGUGAGAGUGGAAAGUUCACACUGUGACGGUAUCUUACCAGUAAGGGACGGCUAACUACGUG